rnacentral:lncRNA from 7 species
AAAAUGGGCAGCUCUGCAGUGUCAGCUCAACCUUCUCCGCUGCCUCCUGUCCAGCAGGUAUUAGCAUGGAAGAAAUGAAAACGGUCCAAGUUGGAUUCUGCCUUCCACACAACUGCUGAGGGAAGUGGUCCUCACCCUGCUCAUCCCUGAAUGCAUCUGUGAGGAAUUGGCACUCCUUCUGUAUCCGCUCCUCCAGACUCCUCUUCCCCAGGCCAAGGUUUCAGAGGGUGGUCAAGGUGAACCUUCUCUGCUGCUUCUACAGGUGCCCAUUGGAGGACAGCAGCCCUCGCAGAAGCAUUUCACAGUGAGCAAAGUAAGAUGUUCUCAGCAAGGGGAAGAAACUGGAGGACAUCUGCCUUGAGAAACGAGGAGGAGCUGUGAAAGUAGCUGUGUUCAGAAUGAAUGUGAAGCUACAACAUUUCCCCCAACUUUCCUCCUCAUAUGUCCAAAAGAACGAUGCUUUCACUGUGUUUCAGGUAUGUGUCACUAUUGAUAACUCACCCAAUUUGCUGAAGACCUCUGCAUUCAUAGGAAUUUCAGGGCGAUCCAUGAAGUUCUCUCCCUGGGUCACAAGGGCUUCCUUGAUUAGUGGAAGUCCAUUUACAAUCACAAAUGACUGGGUGCCUACUUGCAUGCUGAAGAUAUCUCCAUGUUCUUCAAUAAUCUGGGGAGGAGGUAAAUAUAUAAAACAGGAUUGAUUU